rnacentral:rRNA from 1 species
AACGCUAGCUACAGGCUUAACACAUGCAAGUCGAGGGGAAACGAUAGAGAAAGCUUGCUUUUUCUAGGCGUCGACCGGCGCACGGGUGAGUAACGCGUAUCCAACCUGCCCACCACUUGGGGAUAACCUUGCGAAAGUAAGACUAAUACCCAAUGACGUCUCUAGAAGACAUCUGAAAGGGAUUAAAGAUUUAUCGGUGAUGGAUGGGGAUGCGUCUGAUUAGCUUGUUGGCGGGGUAACGGCCCACCAAGGCUACGAUCAGUAGGGGUUCUGAGAGGAAGGUCCCCCACAUUGGAACUGAGACACGGUCCAAACUCCUACGGGAGGCAGCAGUGAGGAAUAUUGGUCAAUGGGCGAGAGCCUGAACCAGCCAAGUAGCGUGCAGGAUGACGGCCCUAUGGGUUGUAAACUGCUUUUAUAAGGGAAUAAAGUGAGCCUCGUGAGGCUUUUUGCAUGUACCUUAUGAAUAAGGACCGGCUAAUUCCGUGCCAGCAGCCGCGGUAAUACGGAAGGUCCGGGCGUUAUCCGGAUUUAUUGGGUUUAAAGGGAGCGUAGGCCGGAGAUUAAGCGUGUUGUGAAAUGUAGAUGCUCAACAUCUGCACUGCAGCGCGAACUGGUUUCCUUGAGUACGCACAAAGUGGGCGGAAUUCGUGGUGUAGCGGUGAAAUGCUUAGAUAUCACGAAGAACUCCGAUUG